rnacentral:lncRNA from 1 species
CAUGGCGGUCUGGUGGACACAACAGAUGAAUAAUAGGGGGGGGGGGGGGUGGAAAUCGAGGUAAAUCAAAGAAAAAUAAGAAUAAUGUAUUGCAAAUUUAGAGAGAGAAAAACAGAAUUUCCUUACAAAAUUUAGGGAAAUAAUCGCAAGUCUGAAGGACAAUAAGAACACAUCAGCAGAAGAUAGCAAUGGACAAUCAAGAACAUUCCAAACAAAAUGAAAAAAUAACUAAGAAAAAACUUCAAAUUCUAUUGAACGCAAUUCAAUGGGUUUACCAAACUAAUAACGAAAUUUAUGUGUGUUUAAUAUUCUUAGAUCCUCAGUAUUUUGCCUGAACCUUCUUUUCUCUUUGUAUUUUAAUUUUCCCCCCGAUGACCUGACUACCAUGCGUACGAAACAUCCACAAUGUUGUUGUCAGAACUAUUUUUGGUGGGCAAGACUUAGUUUGCAGUUGUUGAAUCGUGUUGUGUUUUAUAGUCUAUUGUGAAAUAAUGGCUAUGAAAUCAUUAAAAAGUGGGUUACUCCGUAGUUAAAUGG